CGGGGAUUAGCGCAGUUGGCUAGCGCGCAGCGUUCGGGACGCUGAGGUCACCGGUUCGAGUCCGGUAUCUCCGA
rnacentral:tRNA from 1 species